UACGUAGGGUGCAAGCGUUGUCCGGAAUUAUUGGGCGUAAAGAGCUUGUAGGCGGUUUGUCGCGUCUGCUGUGAAAUUUCGGGGCUCAACCCCGAACUUGCAGUGGGUACGGGCAGACUAGAGUGUGGUAGGGGAGACUGGAAUUCCUGGUGUAGCGGUGAAAUGCGUAGAUAUCGUUUGGAACGCCAAUGGUGAAAACAGCUAGCUGGGAGUGUGCCGACGCUGAGACACGAAAGCCAGGGGAGCGAACGGG
rnacentral:rRNA from 1 species